rnacentral:rRNA from 1 species
UACGAAGGGGGCUAGCGUUGUUCGGAUUUACUGGGCGUAAAGCGCACGUAGGCGGGUUGUUAAGUCAGGGGUGAAAUCCUGGAGCUCAACUCCAGGACUGCCUUUGAUACUGGCAACCUAGAGGCUGGAAGAGGUUAGUGGAAUUCCCAGUGUAGAGGUGAAAUUCGUAGAUAUUGGGAAGAACACCAGUGGCGAAGGCGGCUAACUGGUCCAGAUCUGACGCUGAGGUGCGAAAGCGUGGGGAGCAAACAGG